CCUUAUCAAGAGCAGUGGAGGAACAGGUCCUGUGAAGCUGCGGCAACCCUUCGCUCAGCGAAAAUGGUGCCAAUUCCUGCGCCGAAAGGCGAAAGAUGAGG
rnacentral:ncRNA from 1 species